rnacentral:lncRNA from 1 species
UUCGUCGACGACAACGACGUCUUCUUCUUCUUCUUCUUCUUCGGUGUAUAUUUCAUGCUUGUCGUCAUCGGAGAGAUCGAGGACGGAACGGUCCUCUCUCAUGAGCAUAACAUUGUUAAGUACGGAACAGGUAGCGAUGCACGCCACUGCCAUCUUCUUGUCUUCGUCCACGACUCCACCUCUCAGAAUUCCCCAUUUCCUCACCCAUCUCAGCGCUCUUUGUGCAGGCCGGAGCAUUUCGCUAUGUACUUUGUUGAACUCCAUUUCUUUUGAAUUAGACGUUCCGAAUGGGACCAUCAGCCAUGGAAGUAAGGGAUACCGAAUACCCCCUACCAGAUAACGACCCUUGUUGUCGUCAGCAGUCAUGGUUUGGA